AUUGAACGCUGGCGGCAUGCCUUACACAUGCAAGUCGAACGGUAACAGGUUAAGCUGACGAGUGGCGAACGGGUGAGUAAUGUAUCGGAACGUGCCCAGUCGUGGGGGAUAACUGCUCGAAAGAGCAGCUAAUACCGCAUACGACCUGAGGGUGAAAGCGGGGGAUCGCAAGACCUUGCGCGAUUGGAGCGGCCGAUAUCAGAUUAGGUAGUUGGUGGGGUAAAGGCCUACCAAGCCUACGAUCUGUAGCUGGUCUGAGAGGAUGACCAGCCACACUGGGACUGAGACACGGCCCAGACUCCUACGGGAGGCAGCAGUGGGGAAUUUUGGACAAUGGACACAAGUCUGAUCCAGCCAUGCCGCGUGCGGGAAGAAGGCCUUCGGGUUGUAAACCGCUUUUGUCAGGGAAGAAAAGGUUCUGGUUAAUACCUGGGACUCAUGACGGUACCUGAAGAAUAAGCACCGGCUAACUACGUGCCAGCCGCCGCGGUAA
rnacentral:rRNA from 1 species